rnacentral:rRNA from 1 species
CCCUACUCCUUCGGGAGGCAGCAGUAGGUGAAUCUUCCGCAAUGGUCGAAAGUCUGACGGAGCAACGCCGCGUGAGUGAUGAAGGCUUUCGGGUCGUAAAACUCUGUUGUUAGGGAAGAACAAGUACGAGAGUAACUGCUCGUACCUUGUCGGUACCUAACCAGAAAGCCCCGGCUAACUACGUGCCAGCAGCCGCGGUAAUACGUAGGUGGCAAGCGUUAUCCGGAAUUAUUGGGCGUAAAGCGCGCGCAGGCGGUUUCUUAAGUCUGAUGUGAAAGCCCUCGGCUCAACCGUGGAGGGUCAUUGGAAACUGGGGAACUUGAGUGCAGAAGAGAAAAGCGGAAUUCCACGUGUACCGGUGAAAUGCGUAGAGAUGUGGAGGAACACCAGUGGCGGAGGCGGCUUUUUGGUCUGUAACUGACGCUGAGCGCGUAUGCAUCACAAUAAAACCCCC